AGUAAGGCUAUGGCAAGAACUCAUCCACUUACAGAGUAUGCUACUCUAAAAUUGGAUAUCUCGGUUGAGGAAGGUCGAACAAUGGAGGUGAAUCCCAUCAAUGCUUUUAAAUUCACAUUUUCUUCUAGUGAUCGGAAGUAUGUUGUUGAUCUUCGUGCUAGGAGUUGUUGUUGUCAUGAGUUUGAUCUUGACUUGAUUCGUUGCCCUCGUGCUGUUGUUACUAUAUUGUAAGUUCUUAAAUUUUUUUUGUUUGUUUUUGGUGUUUUUUAUUAUUUUUGUGGUAUAUUUUUAUUUUUUGAAAUUGAUUUUUUAUAAUGUUGCAGCAAGUUCAAACAACCUUGUAUUCCAUAUGUGUCUAGUUACUACACCAUAGAGACAUUACAUGAGAUGUAUUCUAUUGAUGUGAAUCUUAUUCCACAUCAAGACGAAUGGGAUUUUCCUUUGGAUGUGAGGACAAGGGUAGUUGGUGUGCCUGAGAAUCCUAGAUAGGCAAGGCAUCCACGAACUUC
rnacentral:lncRNA from 1 species